AGACAGGUGCUGCAUGGUUGUCGUCAGCUCGUGCCGUGAGGUGUUGGGUUAAGUCCCGCAACGAGCGCAACCCUUGCUUACAGUUGCCAUCAUUAAGUUGGGGACUCUGUAAGGAUGCCGGUGUUAAACCGGAGGAAGGUGAGGAUGACGUCAAAUCAUCACGGCCCUUAUGCCUGGGGCUACACACGUGCUACAAUGGUGGUUACAAAGAGAAGCGAAACAGCGAUGUGGAGCAAAUCUCAAAAAGGCCAUCUCAGUUCGGAUUGAAGUCUGCAACUCGACUUCAUGAAGGUGAAUCNCUAGUAAUCGUAGAUCAGCA
rnacentral:rRNA from 1 species